ACGCCUGCUUUGAGUCAUUCAUCUCACCGUGCGCCGGUGUGCAUCAACGUGACUUCAGACGCUCCUCAUGAACGGCUCGGAGAAUAAGUUAUUGGGCCAGGCCUGCUUUAUUUUCCGCGUCGUUUGUGUUUCUGUAGGGCUCGUCGCCGUUACAGUGGGGUUUACACUGGAUGCCCGAUACUUCUUCGUUGCGUUGUUUUGUGCCGUUUUGUUGACAAUCACAUGCCCGUGUAACGCUCUGUGGAGUGUUGCCACUAAUUCCGUGAGUGCAACGAAGAACAGCUCGACUACAGCGGAUGAUCCUCCUGACUAUUCAUCGUUGUUUGCGAUAUGUGAGGAGACUCCUCCGAGCUACGAAUGCGCUCUAGCGACGCAAAAGAUGACGACUCUCGACGACAGCGAUCGCACUCAGUGAACGUGCACUGCUGGCCUCACAUAGGCACGAAAACGCUGGCACCCUCCAAAUGUGACUGUGGCAUACUAAGAUAGCAUCAUGCGUAUGUGUACGUCCUUUCCGUUUUCGAUGACUGCGUAAAAGUGCAAGAAAUGGGCAUCUGAAAGGUGGCCCUGGGCCAGGCCUGAGGUCAUACAUCUCCAAGUCCUACGGUUUUUGAUGCGAUUUCUUACAGGCAACAAGUUUGUGAAUUUACUCUGACCAUGAACGUCAUUUUGGGGGUCCCCGUGUCUAUCGCGUGUUUCGUUCCUUUUACUUACUCUCUUUUCUCUCCCAGUUGCGAGAACUGUUUUAUUCUUUCUUCUACCAAGCGAAAUAUGACGCGUGUGCAAAACGAAAGAAAAAAAAGUAUCGGUUGUGUGCCCUAUGCAUCUUUGUCUGAGCAAUCCACUCGGUACGAAAUACUUGAUGUGCGAUGUCAACGCAUCCAUGUGUCGUGAAACUCUUUCUUUUUCUUUUUUUUUUUUUUCUGUAAAUCUCUUUACCUUAUCGAUAGGAACGGUACUAGCAACCUGAUCAGAAACGCGCGUGUUUACAUACAAUCAUGUCAGGAAAUGUAAUAGUGAGGUUUAGUGGAUCGUACGCUAUCGCCUUUGCGUACGUGAGGGAUAGCGUGCUGGUUUAGCGUACUAUGCACUAAAACUCUCCAGUAUAUUCUUUCAGGUUUAACCGUUCUAACUUUUUCUUCCUUUUCUUUUCUUUUUUUUCACUACAGGAGCAAAAGCGCUAAAGGAAAUGCAAUGAAAACGGAACGGAACUCCGUGUUGCUGAGAAAUAGCGAAGCAUGGGUUCUUAGCCUGGAUUGGCGCAUUCUUUGGGCGUCUGAAUGUGGAAACUACAGUGCAUUGUCUGAUCGGGACAUAGUUUACGAAUGUCGGACUCACAUUCACGUGGAUUGGUUCAUAGCAAGAAGCGGCAAUCCGUGCACAGUGUUUGCUACAACCACGUUCCAGUCCAUAAGCUCUAAGAGAACAGAGGCUAUCACCUUGCCUAUCAAACAUCACAACUCCAUGACUUCAUCAAUAUAAGAAGGACUCAGUCCAAUUGCAGUCAUUGGUGCGGGCGCAGGGCUUUUGCAGACCACUACUACUUCACUGUAGCUGACACCUUUGCAAGUUGUCGGCGCUUCACUCAAAAGAUCAUCUACAUCAUCUACCAAGAAAAGAUAAUAUGGUUAUGGCUUAGUGUCUUCCCUAUGCUCUUUAUAUCCAAACAUUGUCCCUCAUGGCUCUCAUGGAUGUUGAUAGCGUGCCGGGUCAAACCUAGGCACAUUACCUCGAAGUACAUAUACACUGUUUCCUGAAUUACAGCUCGUUUGUAUACGUAAGCUCAUACUUCUCCAAAUGCUAAGCAGCUCUGUAUUUCCCUAAGAAUUGGAACUACACCAGUAAAGAUGGCACUCUAAAUCUUUUCGCACCCCUUAAGAUGUAAACUGGGUGUAAAAUGGUUGUACACAGGAGUAAUACACCCUUUGUGCACCCCAAAAAUCACAAAAAUCUGUUUGAGAGCUCUUGAGGGUGUAAGAAUGGUGUAUUACACAAUUUUCUGGAAAAUCUCGGUGAGGGUGUGAUACAGGGUGUAUUCUAGGGUGUGUUUGAAUCUCGAACAUACAUUUACUUUGUUCACUGAAAGGAGAUCGAAUACUGCAGACAUGACAGGGGAACAUUAUAAAGGAGCGCAUUACAUAACAACAACAACAAUUGACGAUGAAGCGGGCAGGUUUUCCACAUUACAUAAAAUUACUUACGAAACACUAGAAGAACGCACGACAUGACGAAAUAAUAAACACAUGGUAUGAUUAACA